UUCAGCCCCUCCAGGGCGCAGGCGCGGCGCUGCUGUACUGCGCCUGCGCGGCGCCACAGCCCCGCCUCCAGGGGCGUUCCCGGGAGGACCGGAGUGCGGCGGGGAGGCAGUUAACGCUUUCGCUGAGCAGCUUAGUUUGAGGAGUAUCUUUACUGUCUAAUUUUCACCCAUUCGUGACUUCAAGCAUGUGAUGGGGAGCACUGAGCUUUUUAUCAGACAAACCUCGUGGAAACGGCAACUCCACCACUUUUCAGCUGUGUAACCCGUAGAAAAAUUACUCUGGCCUCGGUUUUCAGAGGGGAAAAUUAGGGACCAUGUCAUAAUGCCAGCCCCACAGGACUGCUGGCGGCGGGAGAAGAGUGAAAUAACAGGUCUGCCUUUGCGCGCUGCCUGGCACACAGCCAGGACGGCCCACGCCUCCCCACCCGCUCCAACCCGGAGAACCGGAUCUCGUCCCGGGAGCGAAGCCAGAAGCGCGCCUGCGCCGCCAGGCAGCCUCGCGCAUGCCCGCUGUCUCCCACCGCCUUUUCCCCAGAGCGACUUGCGAGUUAGAUUUCUUGGCUUGACUCCGCGACCCUGGAAUAUUGGCGGCUGACGGAGCAUCAUCCGAGACCCCGCUUCUUUUGCAAAUUACAGUUAAGCCCCUCGGACAAAUGCAAAGAACUUCCUUUGGUGGAAGCCCUGUUGCGCACCAACCAACUUUCUGUUUUCCCACUAACUCCCCACCCAAGCUUGCAAGGGAAUUCAGGUCCUGAGACCUUUAGAAACAUCUCUAAGGUGGUAACUACGUAUAUGGUGGCCCCAGGAUCCAAAGAGUGAAGCCUCUGCAUAUAAAUAUGGUUUUCUAACUGUUGAAUGAAUUCAAGCCACAUACUAAGAAGAAAAGUGACAUCGUGGAAUAACUCAUUUGCCAGAUUCUUUCUCCCUAAAGCCAAUAAGGCAUGGAAGAGUCCUCAACCAACUAAGUGAAGUUGGUAAACUUCCUCACUGCAUCUUUCUUGGCACAUGGAGGAAGAAAGUCUUUUAAAAGGUAUCUUGCAUCCGGAGGCCAAAACCAAAAACUCUUUUAAGAAUUUCGGCAUAUUAACAUAGUUUUUAAAAAGCCACCCAGGGGCGCCUGGGUGGCGCGGUCGGUUAAGCGUCCGACUUCAGCCAGGUCACGAUCUCGCGGUCCGUGAGUUCGAGCCCCGCGUCAGGCUCUGGGCUGACGGCUCGGAGCCUGGAGCCUGUUUCCGAUUCUGUGUCUCCCUCUCUCUCUGCCCCUCCCC